CGGGGAUUGACAUUUCUUCUCCCCUUUCUCUUCUUGGGCCAUUUCUGGCAGCUAUGGAACAGUAUUUCUCUCUUCAGAAUGGCACAGAUGCCUGAAAGUAAAGAAUGGCAGGUGUCCAUGUGUGGCUACUGCUUUCUGGUUCUGUUUGCGGGAAACUUUUUCACUACACUUGCAGUCGUCCGUCACAAGCGCAAAA